GACGAACGCUGCGGCGUGCUUAACACAUGCAAGUCGAACGAUGAAGGAGAGCUUGCUCUCCGGAUUAGUGGCGAACGGGUGAGUAACACGUGACUAACCUGCCCCUUUCUCUGGGAUAACGCUCCGAAAGGAGUGCUAAUACCGGAUACGAACUCUGAACACAUGUUCGGAGUUGGAAAGUUUUUCGGAAAGGGAUGGAGUCGCGGCCUAUCAGCUUGUUGGUGAGGUAACGGCUCACCAAGGCGACGACGGGUAGCCGGCCUGAGAGGGCGACCGGCCACACUGGGACUGAGACACGGCCCAGACUCCUACGGGAGGCAGCAGUGGGGAAUAUUGCACAAUGGGCGAAAGCCUGAUGCAGCGACGCCGCGUGAGGGAUGAAGGUCUUCGGAUUGUAAACCUCUUUCAGUAGGGACGAAGCGAAAGUGACGGUACCUAAAGAAGAAGCACCGGCUAACUACGUGCCAGCAGCCGCCGUAA
rnacentral:rRNA from 1 species